GACGAACGCUGGCGGCGUGCUUAACACAUGCAAGUCGAACGGAAAGGCCUCUUUCGGGGGGUACUCGAGUGGCGAACGGGUGAGUAACACGUGAGUAACCUGCCCUUGACUUUGGGAUAACUUCAGGAAACUGGGGCUAAUACCGGAUAGGAGCUCCUGCUGCAUGGUGGGGGUUGGAAAGUUUCGGCGGUUGGGGAUGGACUCGCGGCUUAUCAGCUUGUUGGUGGGGUAGUGGCUUACCAAGGCGUUGACGGGUAGCCGGCCUGAGAGGGUGACCGGCCACAUUGGGACUGAGAUACGGCCCAGACUCCUACGGGAGGCAGCAGUGGGGAAUAUUGCACAAUGGGUGGAAGCCUGAUGCAGCAACGCCGGGUGCGGGAUGACGGCCUUCGGGUUGUAAACCGCUUUCGCUCAUGACGAAGCUUUGUGUGACGGUAGUGGGUAAAGAAGCACCGGCUAACUACGUG
rnacentral:rRNA from 1 species